rnacentral:miRNA from 1 species
UAACAGAUCAGGGUAGUCCUCC